rnacentral:miRNA from 1 species
CGCGUAGCCCGGAUGGAGCGCAGCGUAAUCCGGGACCAGUGAAUCCGGUGGCAACAUCCCGGAUUGCGCUUCGCUCCAUCCGGGCUACGGG